rnacentral:tRNA from 1 species
GUUCCUGUAGCUUACAACAAAGCAUGGCACUGAAGAUGCCAAGAUGGCCCCACACUCACCCAGGGAC